rnacentral:rRNA from 1 species
AAACUUUCAACAACGGAUCUCUUGGUUCUGGCAUCGAUGAAGAACGCAGCGAAAUGCGAUAAGUAAUGUGAAUUGCAGAAUUCCGUGAAUCAUCGAAUCUUUGAACGCACAUUGCGCCCGCCAGAUUCUCCCUGGCGGGCAUGCCUGUUCGAGCGUCAUUU